rnacentral:lncRNA from 1 species
UGGCCAUGUCUCCUCUGUUGGCUCUUGUGGUUGUGCAUGACGAGCCCAUGGGUCUCGAAGGACUCGAGGGUUGUAAUCGCAAUAAUGCAGGUGCGCUGCUUCUUCUGGUCCAGGGUCAGCUCCAUACCAAGUGCGUUCUUGGUGAGUGGUUAUCCUUUCAGAUGCCACUCGCUGUGGAGUUCUCUGGUUCACUGGUGUUGCUGCAAUCUCAAUCAAAAAGUUUUGCACAGCGUAGAGGCCAAGGUUCGGGUUAGGUAACCGAAUCUUGCCUUUAUCAUCAUAUAGC